rnacentral:tRNA from 1 species
UGGGGAAUCGUCCAACGGCAGGACGACAGACUCUGGAUCUGUUUAUAGGGGUUCGAAUCCUCUUUCCCCAGCCA